GUGCUUGCUUUGGCAGCACAUAUACUAAAAUUGGAACGAUACGGAGAAGCAUGACCCCUGCGUA
rnacentral:snRNA from 1 species